UACGUAGGUGGCAAGCGUUGUCCGGAAUUAUUGGGCGUAAAGGGCGCGUAGGCGGCCACGCACGUCCGUUGUGAAAUCGCCCGGCUCAACUGGGCGGGGUCAGCGGAUACGGUGUGGCUCGAGCAAGCUAGGGGGCAAUGGAAUUCCCGGUGUAGUGGUGGAAUGCGUAGAUAUCGGGAGGAACACCAGUGGCGAAGGCGGUUGCCUGGAGCUUUGCUGACGCUGAGGCGCGAAAGCGUGGGGAGCGAUCCGG
rnacentral:rRNA from 1 species